UACAGGGGGGCAAGCGUUGUUCGGAAUUACUGGGCGUAAAGCGCGCGUAGGCGGACCUGCAAGUCGGGGGUGAAAGCCCGAGGCUCAACCUCGGAACUGCCUUCGAUACUGCGGGUCUCGAGUCCGGGAGAGGUGAGUGGAAUUCCUAGUGUAGAGGUGAAAUUCGUAGAUAUUAGGAAGAACACCAGUGGCGAAGGCGGCUCACUGGCCCGAUACUGACGCUGAGGCACGAAAGCGUGGGGAGCAAACAGG
rnacentral:rRNA from 1 species